AGCAAUUUUAAAAGGUAAAUUUGGCUCUGGUGUCAUAGCUCUAGGAAAGAGGCAGACCUGGGAGAAAAUAUCUCAGUAGAUAAACUCCUCAUUCCUUCUGGUUGUGCGCACCAGCGAGGAAUGUGAAAAGCGGUGGUGUUGCAGUCUCAAACAAGGAGGGAGAUCGCAGCACACAAACAGGAUUCUUCAAGCACAGGUGAGUGAUAUUGUAGUUUCUUACUAUAUCUGGCUUGGUUAAAUAUGCCUACAGAAUUAUACAACUAAGCUACUGCGUUUGUAGGUGGUGGACCACCCACUAAACAACUGCCUCAGGAAGCAGAAACUGUAUUCAAUGUACUUGGGCUGAGGAAAGGCACAGACAGCUUAAUGAUCCAGCUAAUGGGAAUACAACAAAGCAUGGAGCCGUCAGAGGAACCGGGGCCGUCAGCGUCACAGCUCAGUCAGCCCGCCGUGCUAUCUUCCAAAGAAGUCCCAGGGGUGCUCUGCGAUGCUAUUGCCAGUAUCAGCUGUCUUGCCUGGCCAUUGAGCUUAUUGGUUCCCUGGAAUACCUUUCUGAAACUUCUAUUCCAGAGUCUCCACACCUUGCUCAUCACAUCCUGAGGGACACCAUCGGUCAUGAUCAGAGCACCCAAUUCUUCCCCAAAACCCGUGACCAGUCCACCCAGACUUUCUACUGGCAUUGGACAUGCACCACUUCUUAAGGCAUCCAGACUGAAGACUUCCCUAUUGAGAUCUCUUCUGAUGAUUCUUCCUCUGACACUUCUUUACCUCCUAGCUCUCCUGACAUUCCCCUGCCUUCCCCUGGCUUUGUGCCUUCACCCAACUCCAUACC